rnacentral:rRNA from 1 species
GACGUAGGGCGCGAGCGUUGUCCGGAUUUAUUGGGCGUAAAGAGCUCGUAGGCGGCUUGUUACGUCGGCUGUGAAACCCCGCGGCUCAACUGCGGGUCUGCAGCCGAUACGGGCAGGCUAGAGUUCGGUAGGGGAGACUGGAAUUCCUGGUGUAGCGGUGAAAUGCGCAGAUAUCAGGAGGAACACCGGUGGCGAAGGCGGGUCUCUGGGCCGAUACUGACGCUGAGGAGCGAAAGCGUGGGGAGCGAACAGG